UUUACGGAGAGUUUGAUCCUGGCUCAGGACGAACGCUGGCGGCGUGCUUAACACAUGCAAGUCGAACGAUGAACACCGGAGCUUGCUCUGGUGGGAUUAGUGGCGAACGGGUGAGUAACA
rnacentral:rRNA from 1 species